CCUACGGGUGACAGCAGUGAGGAAUAUUGGUCAAUGGACGAGAGUCUGAACCAGCCAAGUAGCGUGAAGGAUGACUGCCCUAUGGGUUGUAAACUUCUUUUAUAUGGGAAUAAAACGUUCCACGUGUGGGAUUUUGUAUGUACCAUAUGAAUAAUGAUCGGCUAACUCCGUGCCAGCAGCCGCGGUAAUACUGAGGAUCCGAGCGGUAUCCGGAUUUAUUGGGUUUAAAGGGAGCGUAGGUGGAUUGUUAAGUCAGUUGUGAAAGUUUGCGGCUCAACCGUAAAAUUGCAGUUGAAACUGGCAGUCUUGAGUACAGUAGAGGUGGGCGGAAUUCGUGGUGUAGCGGUGAAAUGCUUAGAUAUCACGAAGAACUCCGAUUGCGAAGGCAGUUCACUGGACUGCAACUGACACUGAGGCUCGAAAGUGUGGGUAUCAAACAGGAUUAGAUACCCUAGUAGUC
rnacentral:rRNA from 1 species